rnacentral:tRNA from 1 species
GCGCCUGUAGCUCAGUUGGUAGAGCUGCGGACUCUUAAUCCGUAGGCCCCAGGUUCGAACCCUGGCGGGCGCA